UUGAACGCUGGCGGCAGGCCUCACACAUGCAAGUCGCGCGGAUGAAGGGAGCUUGCUCCUGGAUUCAGCGGCGGACGGGUGAGUAAUGCCUAGGAAUCUGCCUGGUAGUGGGGGAUAACGUCCGGAAACGGGCGCUAAUACCGCAUACGUCCUGAGGGAGAAAGUGGGGGAUCUUCGGACCUCACGCUAUCAGAUGAGCCUAGGUCGGAUUAGCUAGUUGGUGGGGUAAAGGCCUACCAGGGCGACGAUCCGUAACUGGUCUGAGAGGAUGAUCAGUCACACUGGAACUGAGACACGGUCCAGACUCCUACGGGAGGCAGCAGUGGGGAAUAUUGGACAAUGGGCGAAAGCCUGAUCCAGCCAUGCCGCGUGUGUGAAGAAGGUCUUCGGAUUGUAAAGCACUUUAAGUUGGGAGGAAGGGCAGUAAGUUAAUACCUUGCUGUUUUGACGUUACCAACAGAAUAAGCACCGGCUAACUUCGUG
rnacentral:rRNA from 1 species